rnacentral:lncRNA from 1 species
CAUAUAAAUUUAAUUAUUACCCAUUUUUUAAGAGUAAACAGUUUGGUGUCCACCAUAGGGAUAAGGAUUAUAGUGUUAGUUUGAUACAAAUCUAAAUAACACACUCUAUUUUACAAAUUUUCUUUAAGGUCUCGAUUUCAGGUCAGCUUGAAAAUGUCAAAUUCUCAAUCUGCUCACUUGAACGUUGAGCACGGAUCUGACCAUCACGGUAAAAACAAUAAUCUGGUGCCUAGCAAUGAGGCGCCCCUUGCUGAUCCCAACGGGGUUCCGCUCGAUGCUAACUCACAUGUAGCCAUCGAUGCCAACCUUCUUACUGACCCCGAAAACACCAUUCGUGGAGGAGCCCAACCAAUAUGUGACGAGACCGUAACUCAAACACGACGAUCUGUCCGGCCUAGCGAACUUUCAAUGCCAAAGUUAGCUAGUCAGCCUACCCGGAAGCUUAGUAGNNN